rnacentral:rRNA from 1 species
GGAAAUCUCACCAGGCCCGGACACUGGAAGGAUUGACAGAUUGAUAGCUCUUUCUUGAUUCGGUGGGUGGUGGUGCAUGGCCGUUCUUAGUAGGUUGAGUGAUUUGUCUGGUUAAUUCCGUUAACGAACGAGACCUUAACCUGCUAAAUAGUGACGCGGUUCAUCGAACCGUGGGCCACUUCUUAGAGGGACUAUCGGAUUCAAACCGAUGGAAGUGUGAGGCAAUAA